rnacentral:rRNA from 1 species
AUUGAACGCUGGCGGCAUGCUUUACACAUGCAAGUCGAACGGUAACAGGCCUUCGGGUGCUGACGAGUGGCGAACGGGUGAGUAAUGCAUCGGAACGUACCCAGAGGUGGGGGAUAACGCAGCGAAAGCUGUGCUAAUACUGCAUGUGAUCUGAGGAUGAAAGCGGGGGACCGAGCAGCAAUGUUUGGCCUCGCGCCUUUGGAGCGGCCGAUGUCGGAUUAGGUAGUUGGUGGGGUAAAGGCCUACCAAGGCGACGAUCCGUAGCUGGUCUGAGAGGACGACCAGCCACACUGGGACUGAGACACAGCCCAGACUCCUACGGGAGGCAGCAGUGGGGAAUUUUGGACAAUGGGCGCAAGCCUGAUCCAGCAAUGCCGCGUGCGGGAAGAAGGCCUUCGGGUUGUAAACCGCUUUUGGCAGGAAGGAAACGGUGUCCGCUAAUACCGGGCGCUAAUGACGGUACCUGCAGAAUAAGCACCGGCUAACUACGUG